UGGGGUGUCGCCAAGUGGUAAGGCAGCGGUUUCUGGAACCGCCAUUCGGGGGUUCGAAUCCCUCCACCCCAG
rnacentral:tRNA from 1 species